rnacentral:misc_RNA from 1 species
GUUCUUGAUUAUUUCUCAUCAAGGCCUCUAAAGAAUCAAGCUUUCAAUCCGAACUAUUAAAAUUUCAAGUAAUCAUCAUACAUCAUUAACCAAUCCCUGAGGUGCCCAAUAUGAGCACAAAAACAGGGACAAUUCCCAAGGAGUUGAAGGAAUUCAUCAAUUUCUUUAUUGCUUAGUUCACGAGCCAUGGAAAGAGUUACAGGUGGGGCAAUGCAGGCCAUCAGGUACAAGCACAAAAUUUCCUUGAAAAUUUGUAGACAGUAGCUUGUCAUUAUAAGGAGAUGUUUCCAAGAGAGUAGAGGUGGGAACCUGAAGGUUCUUUUGAGGCUUUUUUUCUUCUCUUUCCAUCGAGACAUGCAGUAAUAUCAUAUCUAUAUUCAAAUACUCGAAAGAUUUGCUGAGCCAGUUUAAUUAACAAGCACCUUCUUUUU